CCUACGGUGUGCAGCAGUGAGGAAUAUUGGUCAAUGGCCGAGAGGCUGAACCAGCCAAGUCGCGUGAGGGAAGACGGCCCUACGGGUUGUAAACCUCUUUUGUCGGGGAGCAAAGCGAACCACGUGUGGUUCAUUGAGAGUACCCGAAGAAAAAGCAUCGGCUAACUCCGUGCCAGCAGCCGCGGUAAUACGGAGGCUGCGAGCGUUAUCCGGAUUUAUUGGGUUUAAAGGGUGCGCAGGCGGAGGGGCAAGUCAGCGGUCAAAUUGCGGGGCUCAACCCCGUACUGCCGUUGAAACUGCAUCCCUUGAGUGCGCGAGAAGUAUGCGGAAUGCGUGGUGUAGCGGUGAAAUGCAUAGAUAUCACGCAGAACUCCGAUUGCGAAGGCAGCAUACCGGCGCCCGACUGACGCUGAAGCACGAAAGCGUGGGUAUCGAACAGGAUUAGAUACCUGUAGUC
rnacentral:rRNA from 1 species